rnacentral:rRNA from 1 species
AUUGAACGCUGGCGGCAGGCCUAACACAUGCAAGUCGAGCGGAUGAGAAGAGCUUGCUCUUCGAUUCAGCGGCGGACGGGUGAGUAAUGCCUAGGAAUCUGCCUGGUAGUGGGGGACAACGUUUCGAAAGGAACGCUAAUACCGCAUACGUCCUACGGGAGAAAGCAGGGGACCUUCGGGCCUUGCGCUAUCAGAUGAGCCUAGGUCGGAUUAGCUAGUUGGUGAGGUAAUGGCUCACCAAGGCUACGAUCCGUAACUGGUCUGAGAGGAUGAUCAGUCACACUGGAACUGAGACACGGUCCAGACUCCUACGGGAGGCAGCAGUGGGGAAUAUUGGACAAUGGGCGAAAGCCUGAUCCAGCCAUGCCGCGUGUGUGAAGAAGGUCUUCGGAUUGUAAAGCACUUUAAGUUGGGAGGAAGGGCAGUAAGCUAAUACCUUGCUGUUUUGACGUUACCGACAGAAUAAGCACCGGCUAACUCUGUGCCAGCCGCCGCGGUAAAAC